GUGAUAUUGGACAUGUUUCUAUUUUUUACAAAUGACUGAACUUAACCAUUUGUGGUGAUUAGGAAAGUAGAGGAACAUAGAAUAAAUGUGUAAAAACUAUGGAGCUAUUAAAUGUGUUCAAAGUAUUAAAUUUUCAAAGAACUUAUUGUGUUAAAAAGGGGAUAUUUUACCACAAGGAGCCGCAUCACAAAAGUAUGUUCGGGGUAUGCUAAUUUACGGAAAAAGUAAUCUCACUUCGUACCCCGAAAAUUUAACCACAUAUGUGAAAAUGUCACAGCUUCGAAACGAGCUAUCAUACAUAUCCAAGUUUACGAUAUGGACUGAGCUACAGGAAAAAACGUUACCAUUACCGCC
rnacentral:lncRNA from 1 species